AAUAAAAUAUUCUUAAUAGGGUAUAAGCUAAUGAUUGAGCCUGGAUAUAGUUUCUCUCUGGAUUAAUAAUUUAAAAUAUUGUACUAAAUUUCUGAAUUCUGAAUGGUUAUUGAACCCAUGAACACUACCUCAUGACAUUUUUGUUUCUGUUUUUGCAGCACUUAUUUAAUUUUAUAUAUAUAUAUAAAUUUUUACUGUAAUUCACAGUUUUACAAAUUUCAAGAUCCAUGCCGGUGAUAAUAACACGCACACUAUGCUGGAGGAACUCAGCAGGUCGAGCAGCAUCCGUGGAAACAAGCAGUCAACGUUUUGGGCCGAGACCCUUUGUCAGGACUGAAGAGGGACGAUCUGACGAAGGGUCUCGGCCCAAAACGUCGACUGUACUUCUUCCUAUAGAUGCUGCCUGGCCUGUUGCGUUCCACCAGAAUUUUGUAUGUUUAGCUAAACUAAAUAUCUGUGGAACUCACUAUUCUUCAUAAAACAAAAAUUAUUCACUAUCUAGCAUUAUACAAACUGGGAAUAGUUUGUUGGUAAGUCAGUGUGCCAUGGCACAGUUUCAGAUCUAGUGAUCAUGCACCAAAGUUGACUAAAAAAUGGAUUAAUGAAUUUUCAAAUCUGAGACAAUUAUUUACAAACAAAAGGCACCAAUGCCAAACGAGGAGCUGCUGAGUGUUUAUAUGGUGCAUUUAAUAUCUCAUUUAGCUUGGAUACAUUGAACAAAAUUGUACCUAUUUCUUUUUUUUUGACGUGUGCCUGCGUGCGUGCGAGUCUGUGCGUGUGCGUCUGGGUGUGCGUGCGUCUGUGAUGAUGUCUUUUUCAUGGCUUUUUACAAGGCUCGGAGUGGGAGAGAGAGGCUUCUCACACAGACAUUUUUGCAGUAUUUUCCCCUUUAGUUUAUGAGGUUGAGUUGCGAUCUCGACACUCAGCCUGGCACGGGUGGAAAGCGUACUCUGGAGCGGACCUGACUGGUUUCAAACCCGGGAACCUCCGCUCCUGGGUCCGGCGCUGAUGUCAUUGUGCCACCAGCCAGUCCAAAAUUAUUACUAUUUCUGAAGCUUUGUUUUCUUGUGAUGACACUCCUACCUGCUUAGCUAUAAACUUCAACCCAAUAUAGAAUUCAUCUCAACAAAGUAUACAAUAUAAUGCAACUACUAUACAAAUAUCCUCAGUAAUUUUAAAUUGUCUGAUUCAAGCUUAAUGAUUUAAUUGCUGUGGAGGCUUUCUUACUCUUGUGCGAUAAUGACUUUCGUGACAAGGGGUGCCACUCUGUCUGGCAGGUGAGACUUGUGGAUGUGAAGCAAUCUUAGGUUCUGGGACAAGGUUUAAUUGACGUGGUUUGCAGAUCAGCCCCUAAUCCACAUUAUGAUGUGUUUCUAGUUUCCUGGUUGCUCCCUUUUUUGUUGCUAUUUUGGGCGAUUUUGUAAAAAACUGAAAUAUGCCUUUUGACUUUGUGUUUUAUAUUUUGUGUUUUUUGCCUCUUUUUUUCUGUUGUUGCUUUUUGCACGACUUGUUUUCUUUUGCAUGUGGGAAGAGGCGGGGUUAGGUGUUUUUUUUUCUUUGAACAGGUUCCAUAGUUCUUUGUUUCAUGGCUGCCCAUGGGGAAGACAAACCUUAGGGUCGUAUGCUGCAUACAUAUUUUGAUAGGAAGAAGAUGGCAGAGUUUCUCGUCGAAAUGUCGGUUAUAAUUGAUACCUGUACCCGGAUUGAAACCCGAGAAAGUUUAUUCGUCAUAUACCCUGGGAAAGCACUGGAUCCUUAUUCAUGGUUUGGUUUGCCACAAACUUAUCAAUCACCCCCGCUGUUGACCACUUCUGGAUGUCCAAGACGCCGACUUCUACAAAGGAGGGAUCUGUAUGCUCCACGACCACUGGACUAAGUGUGUAAUAGGAAAAAUAAAUGUGCGAGGUUUUCUAAAAUUGACUCCUUCUACCUUAGGCCACGAACUUAUCAGUCACCCCCUGUGUUGGCAGUUUUCUUUUCACAAAUUUCGCUAAUUUUUGUAAGUUUGAUUUUUG